GACGGAGGGAGCAAGCGUUGUUCGGAUUUACUGGGCGUAAAGGGCGUCUAGGCGGGCUUGUCAGUCAGGUGUGAAACCCCCCGGCUCAACCGGGGAUCUGCACUUGAUACUGCAAGUCUUGAGUACGGAAGAGGAAAGCGGAAUUCCUGGUGUAGCGGUGAAAUGCGUAGAUAUCAGGAAGAACACCGGUGGCGAAGGCGGCUUUCUGGUCCGAUACUGACGCUAAAGCGCGAAAGUGUGGGGAGCAAACAGG
rnacentral:rRNA from 1 species